rnacentral:rRNA from 1 species
UACGUAGGGGGCAAGCGUUGUCCGGAAUCAUUGGGCGUAAAGCGCGCGUAGGCGGCCCGGUAAGUCCGCUGUGAAAGUCGGGGGCUCAACCCUCGAAUGCCGGUGGAUACUGUCGGACUAGAGUACGGAAGAGGCGAGUGGAAUUCCUGGUGUAGCGGUGAAAUGCGCAGAUAUCAGGAGGAACACCAAUUGCGAAGGCAGCUCGCUGGGACGUUACUGACGCUGAGACGCGAAAGCGUGGGGAGCAAACAGG